GAUGAAGAACGCAGCGAAAUGCGAUACGUAAUGUGAAUUGCAGAAUUCAGUGAAUCAUCGAGUCUUUGAACGCACAUUGCGCCCCCUGGUAUUCCGGGGGGCAUGCCUGUCCGAGCGUCAUUGCUGCCCUCAAGCACGGCUUGUGUGUUGGGCCUCCGUCCUCCUCCCAGGGGACGGGCCCGAAAGGCAGCGGCGGCACCGCGUCCGGUCCUCGAGCGUAUGGGGCUUCGUCACCCGCUCUUGUAGGCCCGGCCGGCGCUUGCCGACACAUCAAUCUUUUUUCCAGGUUGACCUCGGAUCAGGUAGGGAUACCCGCUGAACUUAAGCAUAUCAAUAAGCGGAGGA
rnacentral:misc_RNA from 1 species